rnacentral:rRNA from 1 species
GACGAACCGUGCGAACGUUGUUCGGAAUCACUGGGCUUAAAGGGCGCGUAGGCGGACCUCCAAGUCCGGGGUGAAAUCUUUCGGCUUAACCGGAAAAGUGCCUUGGAUACUGGGGGUCUCGAGGGAGGCAGGGGCGGAUGGAACUUCCGGUGGAGCGGUGAAAUGCGUUGAUAUCGGAAGGAACGCCGGUGGCGAAAGCGAUCCGCUGGACCUCUACUGACGCUGAGGCGCGAAAGCCAGGGGAGCAAAACGGGG